GGGCUAUGCUAUUAGCAAUCCCAGCUUAACUGCGAUGCUUGCUACUUUCAUACAAUCAAGUAUGACGGGUUUUGGCCAAUGUUUAUUGAAAUAUGAAAGUCAUUUUUGUACUUUGUCAUAUCUAUAUGAAAUGUUUCACACAUCCAUUGAAUAGUUUUGUCCCUAGAAUAUAGAACAGGUGACAUUUGAUGGCUCAAACUUCAAUCUAAGUAUAUUUUGUGUUCUGCUGUUGACAUUCAUUUACAAGUGUUCAUGAUUACUUUGUUAAGCCUUUUCAUACUAUAUACAGUCUUUGACAACUGCUAUUAAUACAACCAUCGAGCUAAAAUAAUCGGCUCGUUGUUUUAUUCAAAUGGAUUUUUCAUACUUGUUAAAGUUUGAAUUACUAGUGUAUGUAAGAUUGUUACAUUGUACCUCGAAGAAAAAAAAACCACUGUCAAGUUCAUUGAUAUUGUAUUAAUAUCUUAUUAUUAUAGGAGCCUAUAUUAUGUUAGAUUAAUGCCUCGAACAAACAUACACCCCCCCCCCCCCAAAAAAAAAUAUGGUAUUGCCAAAAGUAUUGUAAAGAAUGAAUAGUAGAAUGUGAUAAAUGUACAGAAUUUUGUAUUGCAAUUUUGUGAAAAACAUGCUUGUAUAAUGAAUAAAUUUUUAAAAUAUAAAAUC
rnacentral:misc_RNA from 1 species